GAUGAACGCUGGCGGCGUGCCUAAUACAUGCAAGUCGAGCGAACGGACGAGAAGCUUGCUUCUCUGAUGUUAGCGGCGGACGGGUGAGUAGCACGUGGAUAACCUACCUAUAAGACUGGGAUGACUUCGGGAAACCGGAGCUAAUACCGGAUAAUAUUUUGAACCGCAUGGUUCAAAAGUGAAAGACGGUCUUGCUGUCACUUAUAGAUGGAUCCGCGCUGCAUUAGCUAGUUGGUAAGGUAACGGCUUACCAAGGCAACGAUGCGUAGCCGACCUGAGAGGGUGAUCGGCCACACUGGAACUGAGACACGGUCCAGACUCCUACGGGAGGCAGCAGUAGGGAAUCUUCCGCAAUGGGCGAAAGCCUGACGGAGCAACGCCGCGUGAGUGAUGAAGGUCUUCGGAUCGUAAAACUCUGUUAUUAGGGAAGAACAUAUGUGUAAGUAACUGUGCACAUCUUGACGGUACCUAAUCAGAAAGCCACGGCUAACUACGUG
rnacentral:rRNA from 1 species